rnacentral:lncRNA from 1 species
CACAGACAGGUGGUCUGAGGAACCUUCUGAUCUAACUGGGACAGAUCAGAUAACCUCGGCUCCUGGAGAAAUGGCUGAUCCUAUGUUCGAGACAGGGAAUAUACAAGAUGAGCCUGGAACAUCUUGCAAUUCUUAAAAAAAACCUAUGACCUCAAUCUAAUUAUGAGAACUACCUCAGGCAAACUGAAACUGAGAGAUGUUCUACAAAAUACCUGACCAGUACUCCCUCAAAACUGUCAAGGUCAUCAAAAACAAGAUUGAAGAAUUGCCACAGACCGGAGGAGACUCAGGAAGUUGACAACCAACUGCAAUGUGGCAUUCUGGAUUGGAUCCAGGAACAAAAAGAAGAAAAGCUGAUGAAAUCCAAAUAAAGACUCGAGUUUAGUUAGAA